rnacentral:piRNA from 1 species
UGUGAGGUCACGUUUCUCCACAAGAGCACG